rnacentral:rRNA from 1 species
UACAGAGACUGCAAGCGUUAUUCGGAUUCAUUGGGCGUAAAGGGUGCGCAGGCGGCCAAGUGUGUGAGGCGUGAAAGCCCGGGGCUUAACUCCGGAAUUGCACCUCAAACUACAUGGCUAGAGCAUUGGAGAGGGUAGCAGAAUUCACGGUGUAGCAGUGAAAUGCGUAGAUAUCGUGAGGAAUACCAGAGGCGAAGGCGGCUACCUGGACAAUUGCUGACGCUCAGGCACGAAAGCGUGGGGAGCAAAAGGG